UUUCCGUAGGUGAACCUGCGGAAGGAUCAUUAUCGAAUAAUCGAGGUGUGAGGGCUGUCGCUCACCCGCAAGGUCGUGUACGCCCGAUUGCCCCCACACAUAUCCACCUCCCCCCGAUCUCCACUUCUGAGUCGUUCCUCUUUAGCUCUGUUCGGAAGGCGGGUUUGUGUUUAACAUAAUCCUAAAACAUAUCACCGAUAGUAUUUUUUCUUUUUUUGAUCCCUUUAUUAAUACCACUUUUAAAAACGUAUCUUUUUGCUCUCGCAUCGAUGAAGAACC
rnacentral:misc_RNA from 1 species